rnacentral:rRNA from 1 species
AUUGAACGCUGGCGGCAUGCCUUACACAUGCAAGUCGAACGGCAGCACGGGGGCAACCCUGGUGGCGAGUGGCGAACGGGUGAGUACUACAUCGGAACGUACCCAGUAGUGGGGGAUAACUAGUCGAAAGAUUAGCUAAUACCGCAUACGCACUAUGGUGGAAAGCGGGGGAUCGCAAGACCUCGCGCUAUUGGAGCGGCCGAUGUCCGAUUAGGUAGUUGGUGGGGUAAAAGCCUACCAAGCCUGCGAUCGGUAACUGGUCUGAGAGGACGACCAGUCACACUGGGACUGAGACACGGCCCAGACUCCUACGGGAGGCAGCAGUGGGGAAUUUUGGACAAUGGGGGCAACCCUGAUCCAGCAAUGCCGCGUGUGUGAAGAAGGCCUUCGGGUUGUAAAGCACUUUUGGCGGGAAAGAAACGGCGCUUGCUAAUACCAGGCGCUAAUGACGGUACCCGCAGAAUAAGCACCGGCUAACUACGUGCCAGCAGCCGCGGUAACAC